ensembl:lncRNA
CACGGUUGCCACAAUUCAUUAAUAAAAACAAUUGGAUAUUUACAUCGAAUGAACAAUCACGCUUUUCUUAAUAAGAAAAACGUGACAACAUAAAAGAUACAAGAUACAAGAUCGUUUAUUCUCAUAUACACAAUGGAAACAUACUUUACACUGGGCAAUGAAAUUCUUAAUUUGCAAGUUCCCUUCACACAAAAUAUACUUAAAAUAAAAGUAGAUAAAUAAACUAAACUACUAAAAAUAUCUGUACAAAGAGCAGAAUUUAGUUAAACAAAAAAAACAAGGCGUGAUCAUGGCAAACACGCCUCGUUACCUGGUUGUGGAACCCAAAAUGUUGACCGUACUGGUAUUAGGCCUACUGGAAUCACUUUUGAAAAACACAUUUUUAUAGACUUGCUUUUACAUGAUGCGUCUUUUAUUCUCUAAUGUCUUCCUAAUUGUCUUAUGUCAAAGCACUUUGUAAACUAUUAUUUUUAAAGGUGCUAUAUAAAUAAAGAUAUUAUUAUUAUAAUUAUUAUUAGUCUAAGCACAUCAGAUAAUUAAUAGCACUAACUGUACAACUUUUUGGUAAUAAGCCACCUACAUGUUCUACCCAGGUAAACCUUUGGUCUUUCUUGGCUUUAGCGGAAAUGGCAAAGUGGCCAUGUUUGUAGUCUUUAACUUAUCUACAAAAUCAUAAAACCUUAUAUGGUGUUGUCCAUUAUGUGGAGAAGAAACCAUUCAUAACUGUUGUCAGCUUGAAACAUGUCGUCAGAAAUAGCAUAGACUAAAAUCAUUUACAUCAUUCCUCCUUUGAGGCUGAAGACUCACAUAACGUGAUGUAAACAAACUGCACAUGAAUUGGUAGGUCAGCAAAUGUCAAUGACAGAGCUUCAUGUGAAAUAAUGCAAGGCCUUUGACAAACAUUGAUUCUUUGAUUGGUGUCUGGCGUCCUGGUAGCUGGAUCACCUCCUCUAAACGGCCGUGGAGUUCUCUUUGCUUCACCAUGACCACGACUGAGCGCACCCUAGAGGUGAACCCCCCGCGCUCCAUGGACUUCACUCCGUGGCUCUGAUAGGAGGGAUCCGCUGUAGUGGGAGUCUGUGUGGAUUUGUCCGCCGCGUCCACGUCAUCCUCUAGGUCACCGUCCUGGGAGUAAUCACACAAAAUGGGCACAGCAUCAGGGUUGGGAAACAUAAAUGACAUCUGAAUUGCAUCAGCAAAUCUUACAAAGAAAAGAAUAGUGAUUCCAAGUCAUUGUUGGUUAUAUUUGUGUUAUACUCAGCUUUGAUGGUGUUAAAGGGGUGACUCUAGAUCGGAAACCAGAGUCGGUGAAACGUUGGUGGGAGGUGUUGUUGGAUUUCUGUCUUGGACCACUAUAGUUUCAGGGAUAGUUAUGGUAUGUUCUUGUUGGUCCCUGGUUGGUUCAGGACCGUCAGUGGACCUCAGUGGUGAAGUCACUGGGAGAGAAGGCAGCAGAGAGUCAGGACAUACAGCCAGCCUCCACAUGCAGCAACACUCUUUUGGUAAUGUCUGUUUUUUCUGCACCUUCCGCAAACAAUUGAAUCUCUCGGAUGACCAGUAAGCUUCUCUGGUAAAGCUGUUCUGCAGUGCUCUCCCUCUCCCCCUUUCCCUCCUCCCUCUCCUCCUCCCU